rnacentral:rRNA from 1 species
UGCAGUCGAGGGGUAUAUGUCUUCGGAUAUAGAGACCGGCGCACGGGUGCGUAACGCGUAUGCAAUCUGCCUUUCACAGAGGGAUAGCCCAGAGAAAUUUGGAUUAAUACCUCAUAGUAUAAUCAAGCCGCAUGGUUUAAUUAUUAAAGUCACAACGGUGAAAGAUGAGCAUGCGUCCCAUUAGCUAGUUGGUAAGGUAACGGCUUACCAAGGCAACGAUGGGUAGGGGUCCUGAGAGGGAGAUCCCCCACACUGGUACUGAGACACGGACCAGACUCCUACGGGAGGCAGCAGUGAGGAAUAUUGGACAAUGGGCGCAAGCCUGAUCCAGCCAUGCCGCGUGCAGGAUGACGGUCCUAUGGAUUGUAAACUGCUUUUGUACGAGAAGAAACAUCCCGACGUGUCGGGACUUGACGGUAUCGUAAGAAUAAGGAUCGGCUAACUCCGUGCCAGCAGCCGCGGUAAUACGGAGGAUCCAAGCGUUAUCCGGAAUCAUUGGGUUUAAAGGGUCCGUAGGCGGUUUAGUAAGUCAGUGGUGAAAGCCCAUCGCUCAACGGUGGAACGGCCAUUGAUACUGCUGAACUUGAAUUAUUAGGAAGUAACUAGAAUAUGUAGUGUAGCGGUGAAAUGCUUAGAUAUUACAUGGAAUACCAAUUGCGAAGGCAGGUUACUACUAAUGGAUUGACGCUGAUGGACGAAAGCGUGGGGAGCGAACAGGAUUAGAUACCCUGGUAGUCCACGCCGUAAACGAUGGAUACUAGCUGUUGGGGGCAACUUCAGUGGCUAAGCGAAAGUGAUAAGUAUC